CUCUUUCUCUCACAAACUCCCUCUCAAACUCCCUCUCUUCCAUUUUAUACUGUUUUUUUUUUUUUUAAAUAUCAAAAUUCCAUUUUGUUUCCUAGUAAAUAUCGAUUUCAACUUCUAGAUGUAAAAUUAUACACUAUUUUCGUUGUUUCUUUGAUGUUAUCAAAUCUUCUACAACUCACAUAGUUUUUGUGUUGCUUAUUCGACUUUCUUGUUUGAAUUUCUGGUAAAAGCUUCUAAUGGGGACUCCAACCUCUAAAAUCAAUCGACUUUUUGCUUCUUCUAGCCCGAACAUUGGUCCGGAUCCAUCUUUCGAUCUGCAUGCAUUCACUCAAUCUCCUGUUAAGAAAGAUGGAAAACAACAUAUUGUUACCCCCAAGGUAGUUCAACAAAAAAUGGUUACACGAAGCAAAGGCAAACGAAAGGGGAAAGAAAUUUCGCUUGGAAUCUCAAACGAAAUCGGUUCUGAUUCUGAUUCUGAUUUUGAAGAUGAAUUUGCUUCUCCUUCUUCUAAGAAAAAGAAGGUUGACAGUGGUAAAACAUCUAAUCCGAAGAAAGAAAAUGAGUUUCAUAUUGUUUUACAAAAAGAUGUUAAAAAGGGUCAAACAUCAAAGAGAAACCAUGCAAAACCGAAAUUGAAGGUAAAGAAGGUUCAAACCAGAUUUUGUACUUACACCAACAUCAAAGCUAUUGAGCAUAUAAAGUUGCGAUUAAAGUCUAAGAAGCAAUUGCAGAUGUUUAGGGAGUCCCCAUUUGGUCAUUUUCUUGAUUUACCGAAUAUCAAGGUGCACCCACAACUCAUUCGCAACUUGAUGUAUGCGGAGACUGAUAAUGAUAGAGAUGAUAUGUUUAUCAUCAAGUUGAAUGCAGAAGAGCUCUUUUUUGGCAUAAGAGAGUUUGCCAUUAUUAGUGGUUUGAAAUGCGGCAUGAUGAGUGAAUUUGUUCCGGACCAUAAUUCACCAAAUAGGUUAAUGAAUAGUUACUUUCCCAAUCAACAAAGGGUACUCAAGAGUAAGUUGAUAAGUUUUUAUGAAGGAAGCAUUUGUGUGGAUGAUGAUGAUCUUGUAAAAAUGUCCAUUUUGUAUUUUAUUAGCACAUUUCCUAUUCUCAACUGAGCCUUCCAAAUCUUACGUAUCUAGGCAGCACUUUGACUUAGUUGAGAGUGGUGAAUAUAGGAACUAUCCGUGGGGAAACGAUUGUUUUAACGAAACACUUGCUUUUGUUAGUCACCAAUUGAGUGGUGAUCCAUCGUAUUAUAGGGUUAGGGGCUUUCCACUUGCUUUGCAGGUUUGGUUUUAUGAAUGUUGCUCAAAGGUUGAUCUUUUUGUUGCUACUCGUAUUCGAAACUACAUUCCUCGGAUUCUUAAUUGGCAAACAUCCCAAGAUACAUUGUACAUUUGACUAUUUGAAGAGGGGAUGUUCAAAACUUAUGGGAAUCAGGUGGUUUUUUCCAACAUCACACCAGCAAAUGAUGAAUUGCCACUUCUCACUGAGUUACCAGAUCCGCCACGACCACGUACUACUACUAGUGAUACACCAUUUGUACAUGGUUCUUUGUUUGAGGCAUUGAAGAAUGAGGUUGUAAAUGUAGUUAUCGAAUUCACUAUUUUUAAUCUUUUUUAAAAGGUAUGGAAUGAUUAUGAGUCGGUUAACACAUAUAUGGCGCAUAAAUUCUACUUUUUUAUAGGUUCGUGAAGAUUUGAAACUAUUUCAGAAGAAGGUAGAGGAUGAUUUUAAAUAGUUGAAGCAACAUUUGGAUAAAUCAAUAUUAGACAUACUUACAGAGAUCAAGUCCUUACAUGGCAGGCAGACGGAAAAUAAUGAAUAUGAGGGUACUGGAGGUGUGAAGGUUGUAGAUGGAAAAAUAAUUUAUAGUGGUGACCUGAAUGACAAGUAUCAUGACAUACAAGCUGAGGUUGAUGAACAAGCGACUAAGGGUGCGGUUGGUGGGCUUGAUGGAAGUGUGCCAAUAUCUGGUCAAGCUGUAGUAUAUUUGAAGACCCAUACUGGUAUGCAUGCUGGGAUUGGUGAAGCAUGUUAUAAUGAUCAAGAUGAUGUAGAAGCAUUGAAGAGUCUACAUGAACAAGAAGAAUUGAAGAUUCAAGAUACUUCUUUAGAUGAUGUGGUUGUUGAAAUUGAUAAAAUGGGUAGUUUGUGCAAUUCUGUCUCCAAAACCCCUACUCUUGAUGACAUUGAAUUGCCUGCAUAUAGCGAGACCCAGAUUGUUGCGAUUGAAAAUAGUUAGUAUUCUAACAAUUACACUCCUGAACAACAGCCAAGACUCAGAAAGACUGGAAAAUACAAAUCAUCUCCGUAUGUUGGUUUUAGUUCAGCUGGCAGCAACGCGGGUAAAUCACCUAUAUAUUUCAACAUAAAACAUCCUUUGCAAAUAACAAUGGAUUCGAAGUUGAUGAUGCAUGCUCAAUGAAUUUACAUCUUGGGUAUAUGCUAAAGUCUCUAAACGGAAGAACAGAAUUUCAGCAUACACUUUAAAGGACAACAAGAUUGUCAAUCCUUAUGAUUUGGAAGUUAAGAAAGUUGACAAAAUGGAGUGGUUCUACAAUGUCAUUCAAACUGGGAAAGCGUGGGAAGACUCGCAUGUUGAUGUCAUUAUGUAUUACUUGAGGAAAAAAGCAAAGUAUGGUCCAAAUAACCCAGUGAGAUACACAACAACAAAUUGUUUUUUCAUAAAGUGGGUUGAGGCUAUCCACAAGCAGUACAAGGAAUACAAAAAUGAUAAGUGUUUUAUUAUUGCUGAGCAUAAUGUGGCAAAAAUUAUUCGUGGGUUUAAAUUGAUUGCAAAUAUUUCUUGGGAUACAGUUGAUAUGUGCUCAUCCCAGUCAAUAUAAGCGAAGAAUACCAUUGGGUGUUGGUUGUUUUAUGUAUUAAAAGAAGGUGUUUCUAUGUAUAUGAUUCAUUCCUGGGUGGGGCUAUGCAUACUAAUUCAAUUCGAGAAGUUGUUGAAAGGCUGGCCACCAUGAUACCUCUCUUUUUCAAUUGCACUGGAUUUUAUGGGAAAAGAAAUGACAUAAACUGGAUAACUGAACCAGCAUAUGUUGGGAAGAGCUUUGAUGAUCCUUUCGAAUAUGUCUUUGUGGAUCAUUUGCCAGAACAACAUCCGGAGUCUAAUGAUUGUGGGUUAUACACAUGUGCUUUUGCUGAAUAUAUCAGUCAAGGUGUAUUUGAAAUUUUAGAAGAAGAUUUUGAUGCCGAUCUUCAUCGUCGGAGGUAUGGUGCCCUGCUGUGGGAUUAUGCAAGAAAAAAGCAGGCUGAUGGAGCUAUUAGUGAGAGUGAAGUAACAGGAAAUGUUACUAGCAGAUUGGGUGGUCCAAAAAUUUGCAAGGAACCAGUACCUGAAAGGGAGAAAUUGCCGAGACUGAAACGAAAAAUUUAGAAUUCUUAAAAUUAGUGACUAGUUAUUAGUUUGAUGGUGUAAGAAAGAUAAUUUUGUUGAUGUUGGCCUAAGUAGUUUUCUGAUUUUGUUAGUUAAUUAAGUUUGAUUAAUAUGAUGCUUUUAUUAUUCUUACACCUUAUAUCAUUAGUUAUUAAUAUGUUUACCAAUGUAGUUAUGUUAAU